CCGAACCGACUAAUGUUGAAAAAUUAGCGGAUGACCUGUGGCUGGGGGUGAAAGGCCAAUCAAACCGGGAGAUAGCUGGUUCUCCCCGAAAGCUAUUUAGGUAGCGCCUCGUGAAUUCAUCUCCGGGGGUAGAGCACUGUUUCGGCUAGGGGGCCAUCCCGGCUUACCAACCCGAUGCAAACUGCGAAUACCGGAGAAUGUUAUCACGGGAGACACACGGCGGGUGCUAACGUCCGUCGUGAAGAGGGAAACAACCCAGACCGCCAGCUAAGGUCCCAAAGUCAUGGUUAAGUGGGAAACGAUGUGGGAAGGCCCAGACAGCCAGGAUGUUGGCUUAGAAGCAGCCAUCAUUUAAAGAAAGCGUAAUAGCUCACUGGUCGAGUCGGCCUGCGCGGAAGAUGUAACGGGGCUAAACCAUGCACCGAAGCUGCGGCAGCGACACUGUGUGUUGUUGGGUAGGGGAGCGUUCUGUAAGCCUGUGAAGGUGUGUCGUGAGGCAUGCUGGAGGUAUCAGAAGUGCGAAUGCUGACAUAAGUAACGAUAAAGCGGGUGAAAAGCCCGCUCGCCGGAAGACCAAGGGUUCCUGUCCAACGUUAAUCGGGGCAGGGUGAGUCGACCCCUAAGGCGAGGCCGAAAGGCGUAGUCGAUGGGAAACGGGUUAAUAUUCCCGUACUUGGUGUUACUGCGAAGGGGGGACGGAGAAGGCUAUGUUGGCCGGGCGACGGUUGUCCCGGUUUAAGCGUGUAGGUGUGUGUUCCAGGUAAAUCCGGUUCACUUUAACACUGAGGCGUGACGACGAGGCACUACGGUGCUGAAGCAACAAAUGCCCUGCUUCCAGGAAAAGCCUCUAAGCAUCAGGUAACAUCAAAUCGUACCCCAAACCGACACAGGUGGUCAGGUAGAGAAUACCAAGGCGCUUGAGAGAACUCGGGUGAAGGAACUAGGCAAAAUGGUGCCGUAACUUCGGGAGAAGGCACGCUGACACGUAGGUGAAGUGAUUUACUCAUGGAGCUGAAGUCAGUCGAAGAUACCAGCUGGCUGCAACUGUUUAUUAAAAACACAGCACUGUGCAAACACGAAAGUGGACGUAUACGGUGUGACGCCUGCCCGGUGCCGGAAGGUUAAUUGAUGGGGUCAGCGCAAGCGAAGCUCCUGAUCGAAGCCCCGGUAAACGGCGGCCGUAACUAUAACGGUCCUAAGGUAGCGAAAUUCCUUGUCGGGUAAGUUCCGACCUGCACGAAUGGCGUAAUGAUGGCCAGGCUGUCUCCACCCGAGACUCAGUGAAAUUGAACUCGCUGUGAAGAUGCAGUGUACCCGCGGCAAGACGGAAAGACCCCGUGAACCUUUACUAUAGCUUGACACUGAACAUUGAGCCUUGAUGUGUAGGAUAGGUGGGAGGCUUUGAAGUGUGGACGCCAGUCUGCAUGGAGCCGACCUUGAAAUACCACCCUUUAAUGUUUGAUGUUCUAACGUGGACCCGUUACCCGGGUUGCGGACAGUGUCUGGUGGGUAGUUUGACUGGGGCGGUCUCCUCCUAAAGAGUAACGGAGGAGCACGAAGGUUGGCUAAUCCUGGUCGGACAUCAGGAGGUUAGUGCAAUGGCAUAAGCCAGCUUGACUGCGAGCGUGACGGCGCGAGCAGGUGCGAAAGCAGGUCAUAGUGAUCCGGUGGUUCUGAAUGGAAGGGCCAUCGCUCAACGGAUAAAAGGUACUCCGGGGAUAACAGGCUGAUACCGCCCAAGAGUUCAUAUCGACGGCGGUGUUUGGCACCUCGAUGUCGGCUCAUCACAUCCUGGGGCUGAAGUAGGUCCCAAGGGUAUGGCUGUUCGCCAUUUAAAGUGGUACGCGAGCUGGGUUUAGAACGUCGUGAGACAGUUCGGUCCCUAUCUGCCGUGGGCGCUGGAGAACUGAGGGGGGCUGCUCCUAGUACGAGAGGACCGGAGUGGACGCAUCACUGGUGUUCGGGUUGUCAUGCCAAUGGCACUGCCCGGUAGCUAAAUGCGGAAGAGAUAAGUGCUGAAAGCAUCUAAGCACGAAACUUGCCCCGAG
rnacentral:rRNA from 3 species